GAUCCUGGCUCAGAGUGAACGCUGGCGGCAGGCCUAACACAUGCAAGUCGAACGGCAGCACGGCAGUAGCAAUACUGUGGGUGGCGAGUGGCGGACGGGUGAGGAAUACAUCGGGAUCUACCCUGUUGUGGGGGAUAACGUAGGGAAACUUACGCUAAUACCGCAUAAGAACUGAGGUUGAAAGCGGCGGACCGCAAGGCGUCGCGCGAUUGGAUGAACCGAUGUCCGAUUAGCUAGUUGGCGGGGUAAAGGCCCACCAAGGCGACGAUCGGUAGCUGGUCUGAGAGGACGACCAGCCACACUGGAACUGAGACACGGUCCAGACUCCUACGGGAGGCAGCAGUGGGGAAUAUUGGGACAAUGGGCGCAAGCCUGAUCCAGCCAUGCCGCGUGGGUGAAGAAGGCCUUCGGGUUGUAAAGCCCUUUUGUCCGGAAAGAAAAGCAUUCGGUUAAUACCCGGGUGUUCUGACGGUACCGGAAGAAUAAGCACCGGCUAACUUCGUG
rnacentral:rRNA from 1 species